AGGGCAAUAGCUCUAAAGGUAGAGCGUCGGAUUCCAAAUCCGCAGGUUGGGGGUUCGAAUCCCUCUUGCCCUGCCA
rnacentral:tRNA from 8 species